CCUACGGGUGGCAGCAGUGGGGAAUAUUGGGCAAUGGAGGCAACUCUGACCCAGCAAUGCCGCGUGAGUGAUGAAGGCAAUUCUAUUGUAAAGCUCUUUUCUUUGGAACGAAUAAAUGACGGUACCAAAGGAAUAAGCCCCGGCCAGCUACGUGCCAGCAGCCGCGGUAAUAGGCAGGGGGCACGCGUUGUUCGGAAUGACUGGGCGUAAAGGGUGUGUAGGUGGUUUGAUAAGUUAGAUGUGUAAUACCCAGGGCUUAACUCGGGUGCUGCAUUUAAAACUGUUAGACUUGAGUACUGGAGAGGAUAGUGGAAUGCCUGGUGUAGCGGUGGAAUGCGUAGAUAUUAGGAGGAACAUCAAUGGCGAAGGCGACUAUCUAGACAACAACUGACACUGAGGCACGAAAGCGUGGGGAGCAAACAGGAUUAGAUACCCGGGUAGUC
rnacentral:rRNA from 1 species